GCACCAGUGGUCUAGUGGUAGAAUUGUACCCUGCCACGGUAUACAGGCCCGGGUUCGAUCCAGGCUGGUGCA
rnacentral:tRNA from 1 species